CACACACACACACACACACACACACACACACACACACACACACACACACACACACACACACACACACACACACACACACACACACACACACACACACACACACACACACACACACACACACACACACACACACACACAGCAGCCCCUCCACCUCCUCACAGCCCUCCACAGCCUCUGACGCAGCCCCUGACACAGCCCCUGACACAGCAUCUGACACAGCCCCUUCACAGACCACCACAUACCUCACACACACCACAGGAGUCUCACAAACAGUCUCACAGCCUUCACAAGCAGCCCCACACUCCACCACAGACACACCAGACCCACAGCCCUUCACCUCACCCAUUUCCCAGCUCCCCACAGCCCCUCAGCCACCACAAAUGAAGCCAAAGGAAGGGACUGUGGCUUCACCCAACCAGUCAGGAGAGCCUACAGAGAGGGGGUAGUCACAGUCAAGUCUCAAAAUAUAGGCUUGGUUCUUCCUACAGUUUGAAGUCAGUGAUUGGACAGGUGGAAAGGCCAGACAGCUUAGUGGCAGAGCUGCUGGUGGCCCUCGUCAGCUUCCUGGUGGUACAGGUGUAGGACGGCUGGGAGCAGUGGAGGUGCCUGGUGGAGCAGCUGUGCCGGGCAGAGGGGCUGCUGCUGCUGCUGCUGCUGCUGCUGGGGAGAGCCACACUUGUAUGGUGGUAACACGGAGAGGAAGUGGAAGAAACCUUGGAACGCUCCCAUAACUCAAGAGCAAGAAAUACACCUUACUGGAAACCUUGUGACUGACAGGUGGUGGUGACUGCAGGAACCAAUUCAGAUGUCUGUCUUGUGCUGGCGAACGUCCUGUCUGCAGUCAGGCCAGUAGUGCUAUGUCGCAGGGUGUGACAUCAGGUGAAGAGCCAAAUGGAGAGUGUCUGCAGCCAGUACUGGGUGUGCUGAUGCUGUACAAGUGUCGAGCCAGGUGCCACAGCACAUGACUCCACCAGUGUAGUGUCUCUAGUCCAGGAUGCACUGCUGUGUACGACUUGUAUGUCUUUAUAAAUUUGUGACUAUUCUUAUUAUAUUUGUGAAAUAAGACUUGUAUGUCUUUGCUAAUAAAUAAAUAUUUGUGACUAUUCUUAUUAUAUAUGUGAAAUAAAUAUAUAGUUAGCUAACAGUGUGGUAUAAUAGUGUAAAAAUAAAUAUUUGAUAAUUCAUGCAUGCCCCAAAGGUAAAAAAAAAAAAAAAAAAAACAGGAUUGUGCCCUCUAAACUUUUAAGAUACCACUUGCACAUAAAAGCCCCGUCCCAGUGACUCCAGUGUCGGCUGGGAUGGGGCUUCUAUGUGCAAAUGAUAUCUUAAACAAAGGUUAGUAGCCAAUCCUGGCUUUUUUUUUUUUUUUUUUUUUUGCCUUGAGGGCAUGACCUGUACUCCCAGAAAGACUAUUUGCCAAAGAUAUUAUUGACAUGGCAUAAAUAACUAUCAUUAUGUU